rnacentral:rRNA from 1 species
GAGUGUAAAGACCUUAGGGUGAAGCAAUUGGAGGGCAAGCUUUGGUGCCAGCAGCCGCGGUAACUCCAACUCCAAGAGUGUCUAUGGUGGAUGCUGCAGUUAAAGGGUCCGUAGUCGUGAAUGCAAUUAAAUGUCGUUGUUCAAUAGCGAUGAGUUUGCUAAUGUUUGCGGAACGGAUAGGGAGUGUAGUAUAGACUGGCGAAGAAUGAAAUCUCAAGACCCAGUUUGGACUAACGGAGGCGAAGGCGACACUCUUAGACGUAUCUUAGGAUCAAGGACGAAGGCAGGAGUAUCGAAAGUGAUUAGACACCGCUGUAGUUCCUGCAGUAAACUAUGCCGACAGCCUGUGUGUGAGAAUACGUGGGCGGGAGAAAUCUUAGUGUUCGGGCUCUGGGGAUAGUACGCUCGCAAGGGUGAAACUUAAAGCGAAAUUGACGGAAGGACACUACCAGGAGUGGAUUGUGCUGCUUAAUUUAACUCAACGCGGGAAAA